CCUACGGGAUGCUGCAGUAGGGAAUCUUCCACAAUGGGCGCAAGCCUGAUGGAGCAACACCGCGUGAGUGAAGAAGGGUUUCGGCUCGUAAAGCUCUGUUGUUGGAGAAGAACGUGCGUGAGAGUAACUGUUCACGCAGUGACGGUAUCCAACCAGAAAGUCACGGCUAACUACGUGCCAGCAGCCGCGGUAAUACGUAGGUGGCAAGCGUUAUCCGGAUUUAUUGGGCGUAAAGCGAGCGCAGGCGGUUGCUUAGGUCUGAUGUGAAAGCCUUCGGCUUAACCGAAGAAGUGCAUCGGAAACCGGGCAACUUGAGUGCAGAAGAGGACAGUGGAACUCCAUGUGUAGCGGUGGAAUGCGUAGAUAUAUGGAAGAACACCAGUGGCGAAGGCGGCUGUCUGGUCUGCAACUGACGCUGAGGCUCGAAAGCAUGGGUAGCGAACAGGAUUAGAUACCCGAGUAGUC
rnacentral:rRNA from 1 species